AUUGAACGCUGGCGGCAUGCUUUACACAUGCAAGUCGAACGGCAGCGCGGGGGCAACCCUGGCGGCGAGUGGCGAACAGGUGAGUAAUGCAUCGGAACGUAUCCUGUAAUGGGGGAUAACGUAGCGAAAGUUACGCUAAUACCGCAUACGCUCGAGAGAGGAAAGUGGGGGAUCGCAAGACCUCACGUUAUAGGAGCGGCCGAUGUCCGAUUAGCUAGUUGGUGGGGUAAAGGCCUACCAAGGCGACGAUCGGUAGCUGGUCUGAGAGGAUGAUCAGCCACACUGGGACUGAGACACGGCCCAGACUCUUACGGGAGGCAGCAGUGGGGAAUUUUGGACAAUGGGCGAAAGCCUGAUCCAGCCAUGCCGCGUGCGGGAAGAAGGCCUUCGGGUUGUAAACCGCUUUAGUCCGGGAAAAAGGGGUGCGAGGAUAAUACCCUCGUGCUUUGAUGGUACUGGAAGAAUAAGCACCGGCUAACUACGUGCCAGUAGCCGCGGUAAUGCGUAGGGUGCGAGCGUUAAUCGGAAUUACUGGGCGUAAAGCGUGCGCAGGCGGUCUUGUAAGACAGUCGUGAAAGCCACGGGCUUAACCUGGGAACUGCGAUUGUGACUGCAAGGCUAGAGUGUGUCAGAGGGGGGUGGAAUUCCACGUGUAGCAGUGAAAUGCGUAGAGAUGUGGAGGAACACCGAUGGCGAAGGCAGCCCCCUGGGAUAACACUGACGCUCAUGCACGAAAGCGUGGGGAGCAAACAGGAUUAGAUACCCUGGUAGUCCACGCCCUAAACGAUGUCAACUGGUUGUUGGA
rnacentral:rRNA from 1 species